UUUUUAUGAGAGUUUGAUCCUGGCUCAGGAUGAACGCUGGCGGCGUGCUUAACACAUGCAAGUCGAACGAAGCAUUUAGAACGGAUUACUUCGGUUUGAAGUUCUUUAUGACUGAGUGGCGGACGGGUGAGUAACGCGUGGGUAACCUG
rnacentral:rRNA from 1 species